AGCGAACGCUGGCGGCAGGCCUAACACAUGCAAGUCGAACGAACUCUUCGGAGUUAGUGGCGGACGGGUGAGUAACACGUGGGAACGUGCCUUUUGGUUCGGAAUAACUCAGGGAAACUUGUGCUAAUACCGAAUGUGCCCUUCGGGGGAAAGAUUUAUCGCCAUUAGAGCGGCCCGCGUCUGAUUAGCUAGUUGGUGAGGUAACGGCUCACCAAGGCGACGAUCAGUAGCUGGUCUGAGAGGAUGACCAGCCACACUGGGACUGAGACACGGCCCAGACUCCUACAGGAGGCAGCAGUGGGGAAUCUUGCGCAAUGGGCGAAAGCCUGACGCAGCCAUGCCGCGUGAAUGAUGAAGGUCUUAGGAUUGUAAAAUUCUUUAACCGGGGACGAUAAUGACGGUACCCGGAGAAGAAGCCCCGGCUAACUUCGUG
rnacentral:rRNA from 1 species